UUACUUGAAAAUUUAAUAAUGAUUUAAGCUUUAUUUGCUGAAAUAAUUCUACAAUCCGAAGUAAAUACACUAGCCUGUUAUAUUUUCCAACAAAUUAAACGCUGCAUUACUUGCAUAUACAUAUACAAAGGCAAACAUAUGGACCUCGGCUCGCUUCAAAGUACGUCCAAAAUCGAAAAGCGUUUGCUUGUAAUUGGACAUUUGAUGUAAAAUUAACGUUGUAGCUGCCAGUGGUUUGUUUCGGACGUAUCAUGCAUGAGCGAAAUGAAAAGCAGCCACUCAAUUCAAGUACCCGGAUAAAGUAAAACAAGCCCGGGGAUGGUGCUGCUGGGUGGGAAAUGGGCCGCGGGGCCAUGCUGUGGUUGUAUCGUUGUUGAUGAUAACAUAAACUUGCGGCUCGGCACGAGAACAUUCAUCCUCAGCCGCGUAUCCCCAAACACGAACAACCACACCGGAGCAGGAGGAGGGGAGAAUGGUGUGGUGUGGUGGGAAUCAGGAAAAAAUGUGAAGUAAAAGCCUUAAAAAAGUAAAGCAAAUAAAAGUUUGAGGGUUUUAAUUAGCGAUUUCCUUCGCUCGGCAGUGGGGCACAUACACACACACACAGGGAGUCCGCAUUUUGACGGGCGGGCAGAAGAUGAAAGGGAGACGUUGCUGCUGUUCACGUUCUUUCGCUUAGGAACCACGCGUUACAUUACACGGCCAGCAUUUGCAUAUCAACUUGUUUGCCGCUAUCUUGCCCGAGGAACUUUUCGAGCUCGUCUACAAAAACAUAACUUCGUGAGAUAGCGCAAAUGUAACGGACAUGUGUGUGUGUGUGUGUGUGUGUGUGUGCUUGUUGGAGUUUUUAAGAUGCGUUGAAAGUCAUAGAAAUUUGGUUCUUUUUUUGUGUGUGCAAACAGCAAUAGGCACAUUCGAGGUACGAUGUCGUCUUACUUUAAUAUAUCAAUGAUAAAAUACGAGGUUAGCUCUUCUUUAGUACUACUUGUAAUUGCUACUAUAACAAGGUUAGUUACACACUCAACACAACACAAAUAUGAACGUGUACCUCACUAAUUCCUUCAUCCUACAGCUAGACCGUCUGUACAACCUCAUUACAUCAUAAUCCUAGCAGCACGAUCAAAAUAUGUUUUGUUCUUAUAACAAAGGAACACUCAACCCAAAACGAACGGCACACACAUUAAGAUCCUUCGUAGUCAGCUCAAUUAACAACAUCAACAACAACAAAAAGGACACGCGUGGGCUUUAGCCGUGCCCGUGUGCCAAGAUGAACGUCCUAAUCUGCAGAUAAGACAAAUGAUGCUAGGGACAGCUUAAGGCCGAAAAAAGAAUCAAUUUUUCCGACUGAAUAGAAAUGCGAUGUUCGCACAGAUUCCGAGAACAGGAGAUUAUGCAGGUCACAAUUGUAUGCGCUGACACGUGUGCAGCUUCCGGUGAGUGUUUACGCGCUUUCAGUCAAAAGUCGAAGAAAAACGGUCCACUCAUUCUCAUCACUUUUACCGGGGGGUUCCCCGCCGGAAGCUACUCUAUUUGGAGCUUAGAUUUAUGCAUCACACUUUUACUGCAGCCAAAAGUGGAACACCUUCACCUCCAGCUGUUGAUAUAUAAGCAACCAACGUCGGCAGGCAAAAGGAAAACAGCUCUCACAAUGUCCCGGAUGCAUAUUUCACGGCACUGAAUGUCACAUAAAAUAUAGAAAUCUUUA